CCCAUGGCACAAGGGGACGUGGCACGGUGGUGCCAUGGGGCGGUGGUGGAGGUUUUAGGGUUCCCAUGGCACAAGGGGACGUGGCACGGCGGUGCCAUGGGGCGGUGGUGGAGGUGGCACAGCACUGUGAGCCCCAUUGCAGGGCCGGGCGUGGAUCCGCGUGGCACUGAUGGAGAAGCGCAUUUCUGACUACAUCACCACGGCACUGCGGGACUCGCGGACCACCAGGCGGUUCUAUGACGACGGGGCCAUCAUGCUGCGGGAGGAAUCCACGCUGCUGGUCGGGAUGCUCAUCGGGCUCGGCGCCAUCGACUUCAGCUUCUGCCUGAAAGGUGAGGUGAUGGACGGCAAGGUGCCGGCGGUC